GACGAACGCUGGCGGCGUGCUUAACACAUGCAAGUCGAGCGGUAAGGCCUCUUCGGGGGUACACGAGCGGCGAACGGGUGAGUAACACGUGAGCAAUCUGCCCUUCACUCUGGGAUAAGCCCGGGAAACCGGGUCUAAUACCGGAUAUGACAUGCCCUCGCAUGGGGGUGUGUGGAAAGUUCCGGCGGUGGAGGAUGAGCUCGCGGCCUAUCAGCUUGUUGGUGAGGUAAUGGCUCACCAAGGCUUCGACGGGUAGCCGGCCUGAGAGGGUGACCGGCCACACUGGGACUGAGACACGGCCCAGACUCCGACGGGAGGCAGCAGUGGGGAAUAUUGGACAAUGGGCGAAAGCCUGAUCCAGCAACGCCGCGUGAGGGAUGACGGCCUUCGGGUUGUAAACCUCUUUCGGUGGGGACGAAGCGCAAGUGACGGUACCUGUAGAAGAAGGACCGGCCAACUACGUGCCAGCAGCCGCGGUAAUAC
rnacentral:rRNA from 1 species